rnacentral:tRNA from 1 species
UCCCGCUUAGCUCAGCUGGUAGAGCGCGUCACUAGUAUCUAUCAAUGACGAGGUCAGUCGUUCAAGUCGGCUAGUGGGAA